UGGGGAAUAUUGGACAAUGGGGGCAACCCUGAUCCAGCAAUGCCGCGUGUGUGAAGAAGGUUUUCGGAUUGUAAAGCACUUUCGACGGGGACGAUGAUGACGGUACCCGUAGAAGAAGCCCCGGCUAACUUCGUGCCAGCAGCCGCGGUAAUACGAAGGGGGCUAGCGUUGCUCGGAAUGACUGGGCGUAAAGGGCGUGUAGGGCGGUUUGUACAGUCAGAUGUGAAAA
rnacentral:rRNA from 1 species